rnacentral:rRNA from 1 species
UACGUAGGGGGCUAGCGUUGUCCGGAAUCAUUGGGCGUAAAGCGCGUGUAGGCGGUCCGGUAAGUCCGCUGUGAAAGCCUGGGGCUCAACCCCGGGUCGGCCGUGCGAACUGGGGGGCUGGAGCACUGUAGAGGCAGGCGGAAUUCCGGGUGUAGCGGUGGAAUGCGUAGAGAUCCGGAAGAACACCGGUGGCGAAGGCGGCCUGCUGGGCAGUUGCUGACACUGAGGCGCGACAGCCAGGGGAGCAAACGGG